CAAAUAGUCAGUAAUUAGGUUUGUUCUGAUGGCAAAGAUGACAGAACAACAGAUGUUUGUUAUCCUUUUGUCAUAUUGCUUCAUUACAGACAUUGUUCAAAAAUAACAAAGAUAUUUCAGCGCAUUCUUUUUCAAUAGCAGGCUUGGACAGGCUAAAGCAUAGCUUAAACACAUAAAACAUGUCUUUAUCAUAAAUGUUUUAAUAAAUCCAUUGAUCCAUGUUAUGAGGCAUAAAAUAUUACAAAUUCAUAUUCUGCCUAAUAUUAUACAACAUGGAGACGGGGUGACGCUUUACUACACAAGAUAUAUGUGACUUUAUGCGUGUUUAAAAACAAGACUCCAUUAUUGGGCCUGUGGUGAGUUGUGUCAUUUCUGUUUGCACUUCCAACACUAUCUUUGGCAGUUUGUGUUCCUUCUUAAAAGUGCAAAAGACUCAAAAUUCUUCCUUCAUAGUGCUGGUAUGGAAGCUCAGUAUUCCAAAAUUUUGACAUAUAUUGUCCUACAAUUUUUCAAAGUGCCAUCAAAAAUCCACCUAUAAAAAAUAAAACUAAAAAAAAACAUUUUUGGUUAAAAUUUAGUUCAUAUACCCUUCAAGGACACCUUCUCCUUGAACCAGAUUCGAAGAACUUUUUGAUAACACCCUCAUAAAAUCUUCAUCAGGUUUAGAUGGCUUUACAUUUUGCAUUCAUUUAUCCAUAGUAUGUUCUUUUGUGUACAAAUCAAGUCUACUGUACAGUUAUGAUCAACCACAAAAAUAUAAUAAUGCAUUUGUAAGCACAUAUGCAACAAAAUAUCAAGGCCACAGCUGAAUAAAAAUAUGAAUGUGAUAUUUUAAGAAAUGUGCCAUUUUCUGAUUAAAGAUGUUAUUACUAGUAAUAGUCAUAAUUUUCUAAUAUACAAUGAAGUUUGGAUUUAAAGAACAAAGCUGCAUCUCUACAUGGGAAAAUGUGAAAAGAAAAAGCCUUAUGAGAGAUGAAAAUAUGCCUUGAUUUUACAAACACACUUUCAUUUUUAUAAUUAUUUAUAAUUUGGCAAAUUACAAGUUCAUUUUCAUCACACAACGCCAUUUCAAUAGAGAAGAAUUCAUUAGAAAAAAAUUAAAUUACAACUAAAAAUUAAAAUGACAACUUAACUAUAAAUAUUAUUAACUCAAAACCUUGUUUAUUAAGGUCAUCAUGUCUAUGAUGCAAAUCAGCAUAAUGCUGUUAUGGAGCUUGACACCUGACUAAAGGUUUCUAAUAAUAUGUGACAAGGUCUAUAUAGCAGUGGUGGACAAAAAGUCACAUUAAUGUAGCAGGGCCUGCUUGGGUUCAAGUGACAUUUUUCUCACUGGACAGUGAGUGCACGAGUUCAUGAGGACAUCUCCAAGCCUGUCAAGUUUUUCUGAUUGCAUGGACUCAUCUGUGGAGAUGUACAUUACAAUGCACUAACUGUGGAUGUGCCCCAGGCAGGACAGGCUACAGCAACACAAUUAAUGUAUGGCGACUAUGUGUUUUAAUGUAAUAAUUUAAUGAUUUUUAAAUAGUAUCUAAUGUUUUGAUACAUUAGACAUCUGAAAUGCAUAAAGCCUUAAAAACAAAUGUCUGAUAAGUGUAUUUAAAAAUGCAUUGUACCAUAUACCUACAUAGAUGUUGUUACAGUUUUACUUGCACAACUGCAGCUUUAUUCUUAAGCCUUUAUAAAUAGGACUUAUUUGUACAAAACAAAAAAGCCUUUAUUUUUCUAUUAAAACUUUUAUUCUAUAACCCCCUUUUCGUAAAAGUUGAUACAUUUAUUUUAAUAUUAAUUAAUAUGAGUGCACUGAAAUUUCAAGAAUAAAGUUGCAGGAUCUUUUACAGUCAUGUAAAAGUCAAAGAUACUGUGUGUGUUUGAAAUGUAGCUUUUUUUGGUUCCUGUGCAAAAUGUGUUUAAAAACAGAAUGCAAUGAUUUGCAAAUCUCAUAAACCCAUAUUUUAUUCACAAUUUAAAAAAACUGAAAAAAUAAUAAAUGUUUAAACUUGGGAUUAUUUAAGAAAAUUAUUAGGUCAUCUUGAAUUUGAUGGCAGCUUGUAUAAACACUAUGAGCAUCUGGGAAGAAGGCUUAACUAAAACUGAGUUGAUAAUAAAGUUUCCCUCAUCUCAGGGUUAACAAACUCAAAGUCAUAUCUAUACUCUCCAUCUUUCUAAGUCCUUGACAAUAAUGCUGUCAGGCUGUCAGCCAGUUUCCUGAAAACAUUUACUGUGUGUUGCACACUGGAAAUAUUAUCAGCUGUCACAGUGACGAAAAACGUGUCACAUCUGGAUCUUGGAGCUGAUGUAAAUAUUUGCGCGAACACUAGGUGGGGCUGAGAUGACUUUAAGUGUCAUGGUUCCUGGAGUCAGUGUUUUCAGUUUGUUGUUCUUUUUCCUCAGUUAAUUUUUUUAAAUCUAUUUUUUUGUGUUAUUGUAAUUAUGUUUGGAUUAUGUCCUGAAGUUUCUGGGUUUUUGUUUAUAAUUUAAUAAACACGUUUCAAUUAAUGUCUAUCUUUUAUUAUCAUUCUGGUUUUGGUGAUUUGGUUUAUACUUAUUCUUCCUAGCCUUCCCUGUUCCCUCAGUGCAGGUGUUUUCAUGACUUCCUGUCUGAUUUUGCCAGUCAGUUGUCUCAGUUUUCUUCAGUUCAUGUUUUAUUGUCCAUGCUCCCACGUUCUGUUUUUUCUCUUUUGUCUCCUACUUUUGCAAUUCUGCCUUGAGCCCAGCUUUGUCUCCUUGACAUCCAGGAGUAAACAUCCUUUUGAGUUUACCCUUUUGUCUCCAGGGUCCUGCAUAUCGGGUCCAAGCCCUGCCUGCCGCACAACAUAUCACGACAUUGACACUCAAACUGAACUCCAUAUAUUUUAGAGUUGUUCUUAAACAUGGACUAUCUGCAGGUUCUGAGCAUUUACAUUGUGUUCACAGACUGAGAUGAAGUCAUUAUUAUUAUGAAUUAUGUCAAACAACAUUUUGGUAUCUGAAUUUCAGAGUCUGAGCCUUGACACAUUUUACACUGAAAAGCAGCUAAAUUAGUGUCGAGUCAACCUGGAACCUUAAUUGCUGAGAUCAUAGGCUCUGCAAAAGAUCAGCAAACCGUGUCAGAGUCCACUUAUCCAAAACAGAUCAUGGAUUCAGAUCUGACAUUUUUAUCUUCGCUUUUUUCACCUACAUUUUGUCGUUCUUAGGUUAGAAGUGAAUAAUUAAAUUUAGAUAUCAAAUCAAAUUAGGAUUCUAGCUUCAUCUAAAAAAAUAGUUGGGUGCAUGAUGCCAGCAGGCGUUAUAAAAACUAUACCGCCACUGCUACCCCAGAAUCUUCUAACAGAUGUACCUAUGUAUUAAUUUAAAAAUCCUUCGUUACCUCGUUCGCGUGUUCACGAAAUUGGAUGUCGACCUGACAGGGUGAUGACAAUACCCAUCAGCCUUUAAUGGCUUAGCAGUAAAAAUGCUAUAUUUUAUUAUCAAACUUAUCUGUGAUGAUGACAAAGUGGCCCACACUGAUUAAUAGUACUCUUUUUCCCUUCUGUUCAUAUUCUGUGGUGAAUAAUAGUAUCAGAGCUCCAUUAAUGAUGGUUUUCUUUCCCUGGCCAUGCAUGCGCAUAUCUCAGGGUGACCACAUUCAGAGUUGAUUGACCUAACUCCAAUCAGCUGUUCCAGAACAAGAAACUCUGAAUUGCCCAUCUCUGUUAUUUUUCAACAUGCUUCCUGGAACAUGGCCCAGCAGUUGGACUUUUAGGAGUGGAAUAUUGGCCCAUUCUUGUCUUACAUGGGAUUGUAGCUGCUCAACGGUCCUUGGUCAUCUUUGGAUGAGAGCAUCCAUCCAAAGGAUAAUGUCUUUGGCUAGUUUCUCUUAAAUGUAUAUAGACCUUGUAGCAUUGAUUGUGUCUUUCCAGAUGUGCCAGCUG
ensembl:lncRNA